UCUCCUGAACUCAUGCCUCUUCCUGGAACCCAUCACCUGCCCUGCCUCACAGCUGCCACCACUGUGCAUGGGACUGAGCAGUGAUCACCCCUGUGAGGGCCACGCUUGGCACAUGAAGGAAGCAAGAGGCCGGAGUCUUGGGGCUGCCCUCAGCGAGCUGCUUACCUGACAGGAGGGCUGGGUGAACUGUAUCUUUGGAAAUACCCCAAAGUCAUGUGGAUUCAAGUCGGAGGAAUCAGGUCUUUGGUGUAAUCCUAGGAAGCAGGCAGAAUAUGGAUUGAUGCCCUUUUUACAGGGGAAAACAAUUUCAAGAAGAGAAAUGGGGACACCUGGGCUCCAGGUCCUCUGUGGAAGAAGUGCUGGGGUGUGAUGUGCACCGAGGCUGAGCAUUUGGAUGGACGCGUCGGGCGGGGUGGGUGGGCGUGGAGAUUGAGGGUCCUGUGCACAAGCUCCUUGAUCGCGCCCUCCUUGACCCUCUCUGCGGCUCUCGAAGUGGGGGUUAUCGCCUGCAUUACCCUCCACGCCCCACAUCACGGAGCUAACAAGAGAUAGACUUGGAGGCUGCACCCUGGCCCGUGAGCUCCCAAGGCAGGCCAGCCCACCAGUGUUCGCUGGCGUCUGGGCUCCGCUUCAAGACCCCGGAGCACGACCUCACACGGGACUGCGUGUGUGCAGUGUGUCUUGCAAGUUACAAGCAUUGCGAAACUGAGCCGCGGUGGCAUUUUGGU